AGUGACCUACAUGUGACACACAGCUCCUCCAGAGGGUGUCCUGUAUACAACCAAGCAAUUUCCCUGGCCAGAUCUUGAUUUUUAAGCCUGGCACCUCAUCUGCCCAAAGUACAGCUACCACUGGCUUUCAGUGGUGACAUCCACCUCUUCAAAGACUGCUUGAAUGAAGUGCCCUGCAUCACCUGGGACAAAGUGAAGUUGCGGUGCCCCUGCCUUUGGGGAAUCUGCUGAAGCAGAACUCACGUGUCUCAGGGAUGCUGAAAGGAUAAUCUGGUUGAUGGCAGUAGAUGGACUGGCCACCUAGAAGCAGAACAGCAGGUGCUAUAAUGGGUGCCUCUGCAGAUCUGACUGGAGCUACUGCAGUCAGGGACA